CGCGGCCUAUCAGCUUGUUGGAGAGGUAACGGCUCACCAAGGCAUCGACGGGUAGCUGGUCUGAGAGGAUGAUCAGCCACACUGGAACUGAGACACGGUCCAGACUCCUACGGGAGGCAGCAGUGGGGAAUCUUGCACAAUGGGCGCAAGCCUGAUGCAGCAACGCCGCGUGCGGGAAGACGGCCCUAGGGUUGUAAACCGCUUUCAGGAGGGAAGAAAAUGACGGUACCUCCAGAAGAAGGUGCGGCCAACUACGUGCCAGCAGCCGCGGUGACACGUAGGCACCAAGCGUUAUCCGGAUUUAUUGGGCGUAAAGAGCUCGUAGGCGGUUCGGUAAGUCGGGUGUGAAAAUCCAAGGCUCAACCUUGGGACGCCACCCGAUACUGCUGUGACUCGAGUGCAGUAGGGGAGCAGGGAAUUCCUGGUGUAGCGGUGAAAUGCGCAGAUAUCAGGAGGAACACCAGUGGCGAAGGCGCUGCUCUGGGCUGUAACUGACGCUGAGGAGCGAAAGCAUGGGUAGCAAACAGGAUUAGAUACCCUGGUAGUCCAUGCCGUAAACGUUGAGCACUAGGUGUGGGUCUCAACCAACGAGAUCCGCGCCGUCGCUAACGCAUUAAGUGCCCCGCCUGGGGAGUACGG
rnacentral:rRNA from 1 species